rnacentral:rRNA from 1 species
CGAGUGAAGCGGCAACAGCUCAAAUUUGAAAUCUGGUACCUCUGGUGCCCGAGUUGUAAUUUGUAGAGGGUGCUUUGGCGUUGGCGCCAGCCUAAGUUCCUUGGAACAGGACGUCACAGAGGGUGAGAAUCCCGUACGUGGCCGGCUGCCUUCGCCGUGUAAAGCCCCUUCGACGAGUCGAGUUGUUUGGGAAUGCAGCUCUAAAUGGGAGGUAAAUUCCUUCUAAAGCUAAAUACUGGCCAGAGACCGAUAGCGCACAAGUAGAGUGAUCGAAAGAUGAAAAGCACUUUGGAAAGAGAGUCAAAAAGCACGUGAAAUUGUUGAAAGGGAAGCGCUUGCAGCCAGACUUGCCCGCAGUUGCUCAGCCAGGCUCUCGCCCGGUGUACUCUUCUGUGGGUAGGCCAGCAUCAGUUUGGGCGGCCGGAUAAAGGUCUCGGGAACGUAGCUCCCUCCGGGGAGUGUUAUAGCCCGGGGCGCAAUGCGGCCAGUCCGGACUGAGGUCCGCGCAUCUGCUAGGAUGCUGGCGUAAUGGCUGUAAGCGGCCCGUCUUGAAACACGGACCAAGGAGUCUAACAUCUAUGCGAGUGUUUGGGUGUCAAGCCCGGGCGCGCAAUGAAAGUGAACGGAGGUGGGAACCCCUCCCGGGGUGCACCAUCGACCGAUCCUGAUGUCUUCGGAUGGAUUUGAGUAAGAGCAUAGCUGUUGGGACCCGAAAGAUGGUGAACUAUGCCUGAAUAGGGUGAAGCCAGAGGAAACUCUGGUGGAGGCUCGCAGCGGUUCUGACGUGCAAAUCGAUCGUCAAAUUUGGGCAUAGGGGCGAAAGACUAAUCGAACUAUCUAGUAGCUGGUUCCUGCCGAAGUUUCCCUCAGGAUAGCAGUAACGUUUUCAGUUUUAUGAGGUAAAGCGAAUGAUUAGAGGCCUGGGGGUUGAAACAACCUUCACCUAUUCUCAAACUUUAAAUAUGUAAGAAGUCCUUGUUACUUAAUUGAACGUGGACAUUUGAAUGCACCGUUACUAGUGGGCCAUUUUUGGUAAGCAGAACUGGCGAUGCGGGAUGAACCGAACGCGGGGUUAAGGUGCCAGAAUGCACGCUCAUCAGACACCACAAAAGGUGUUAGUUCAUCUAGACAGCAGGACGGUGGCCAUGGAAGUCGGAAUCCGCUAAGGAGUGUGUAACAACUCACCUGCCGAAUGAACUAGCCCUGAAAAUGGAUGGCGCUCAAGCGUGCUACCCAUACCCCGCCGCCAGGGCAAGAAUUAGGCCCUGGCGAGUAGGCAGGCGU